rnacentral:rRNA from 1 species
AGUGAACGCUGGCGGUAGGCCUAACACAUGCAAGUCGAACGGCAGCACAGUAAGAGCUUGCUCUUACGGGUGGCGAGUGGCGGACGGGUGAGGAAUACAUCGGAAUCUACUUUUUCGUGGGGGUUAACGUAGGGAAACUUACGCUAAUACCGCAUACGACCUACGGGUGAAAGCAGGGGAUCUUCGGACCUUGCGCGAUUGAAUGAGCCGAUGUCGGAUUAGCUAGUUGGCGGGGUAAAGGCCCACCAAGGCGACGAUCCGUAGCUGGUCUGAGAGGAUGAUCAGCCACACUGGAACGGAGACACGGUCCAGACUCCUACGGGAGGCAGCAGUGGGGAAUAUUGGACAAUGGGCGCAAGCCUGAUCCAGCCAGACCGCGUGGGUGAAGAAGGCCUUCGGGUUGUAAAGCCCUUUUGUUGGGAAAGAAAAGCAGCAGGUUAAGACCCCGCUGUUCUGACGGUACCCAAAGAAUAAGCACCGGCUAACUUCGUG